rnacentral:rRNA from 1 species
UGCCUUUUAAUUGUAGGCCUGCAUGAAUGGCUCGACGAGGGUUUAACUGUCUCUGAUUUGUGAGCCCUAAAUUGGAUUAAAGGUGAAGAUACCUUUAUAUAAAAGUUAGACAAGAAGACCCCGUGCAACUUUUAAAGUCGGUUUAUUAAGAAAUUUAAGAUUUUUAGGUGGGGCGCCUACUGAGUAGUAUUAACCUCUGUGUAUAAUAAAUACUUUCAAGUUUAGACCCGACAUUGUCGAUCAUAGGAGAAGUUACGCCGGGGAUAACAGGCUAAUCCGCUAGUAGAGAACGUAUUGGCUAGUGGGAUUGGCACCUCGAUGUUGAAUCAGGGAUGAUACCUUU